GCCUCUUGUAAUUCAAUCAUUGUACAACAUCUCCCUUUUUCUCAUUUACCAGCCUACUAGUAUCCGUGGGGGUCCAUAGGGGUUCCGCUACCCGUUAACCUUUAACAUUCAUAAUCAGUUUCCAGGGCCGUCCCCAUACCCCGUCCGGUAUGGGCGCCAAAACCAUGAACCUCAAUACCCCGUCCGGUAUGAGGGUGAAACGGGCCGUCCCCAUACCCCGUCCGGUAUGGGCGCCAAAACCAUAAACCUCAAUACCCCGUCCGGUAUGAGGGUGAAACGGGCCGUCCCCAUACCCCGUCCGGUAUGGGCGCCAAAACCAUAAGAUCUCCAUACCCCGUCCGGCAUGUGAGACCACAAUCCCGGUAGGGUUCCCUACGGACCCGGUCCGUCCACCAUCUCCCAGGAUAUCUAGUCAGGCUGACCCCCAUAAUACAAUUAUCAGUCUAUACAAUCUUUCAUUUUCCUUUUCCUCAAUCAGCAUCAUCAAUUCAC
rnacentral:lncRNA from 1 species